rnacentral:rRNA from 1 species
UACGUAGGGAGCAGGCGUUGUCCGGAUUUAUUGGGCGUAAAGAGCGCGUAGGCGGCUCGGUAAGCCGGAUGUGAAACCUCCAAGCUCAACUUGGAGCGGCCAUUCGGAACUGCCGUGGCUAGAGUCUGGUAGGGGAACACGGAAUUCCUGGUGUAGCGGUGAAAUGCUUAGAUAUCAGGAGGAACACCAGUGGCGAAGGCGGUGUUCUGGGCCAGUACUGACGCUGAGGCGCGAAAGCGUGGGGAGCGAACAGG